rnacentral:rRNA from 1 species
UAUUUUUUUUUUUGAUUUUAACCACAGAUGAACGCUGGCGGCGUGCCUAAUACAUGCAAGUCGAACGAGUUCUCGUUGAUGAUCGGUGCUUGCACCGAGAUUCAACAUGGAACGAGUGGCGGACGGGUGAGUAACACGUGGGUAACCUGCCCUUAAGUGGGGGAUAACAUUUGGAAACAGAUGCUAAUACCGCAUAGAUCCAAGAACCGCAUGGUUCUUGGCUGAAAGAUGGCGUAAGCUAUCGCUUUUGGAUGGACCCGCGGCGUAUUAGCUAGUUGGUGAGGUAAUGGCUCACCAAGGCGAUGAUACGUAGCCGAACUGAGAGGUUGAUCGGCCACAUUGGGACUGAGACACGGCCCAAACUCCUACGGGAGGCAGCAGUAGGGAAUCUUCCACAAUGGACGCAAGUCUGAUGGAGCAACGCCGCGUGAGUGAAGAAGGCUUUCGGGUCGUAAAACUCUGUUGUUGGAGAAGAAUGGUCGGCAGAGUAACUGUUGCCGGCGUGACGGUAUCCAACCAGAAAGCCACGGCUAACUACGUGCCAGCAGCCGCGGUAAUACGUAGGUGGCAAGCGUUAUCCGGAUUUAUUGGGCGUAAAGCGAGCGCAGGCGGUUUUUUAAGUCUGAUGUGAAAGCCCUCGGCUUAACCGAGGAAGCGCAUCGGAAACUGGGAAACUUGAGUGCAGAAGAGGACAGUGGAACUCCAUGUGUAGCGGUGAAAUGCGUAGAUAUAUGGAAGAACACCAGUGGCGAAGGCGGCUGUCUGGUCUGUAACUGACGCUGAGGCUCGAAAGCAUGGGUAGCGAACAGGAUUAGAUACCCUGGUAGUCCAUGCCGUAAACGAUGAAUGCUAGGUGUUGGAGGGUUUCCGCCCUUCAGUGCCGCAGCUAACGCAUAAGCAUCCGUCCUGUGAGAGGCG